AAGUCGUAACAAGGUUUCCGUAGGUGAACCUGCGGAAGGAUCAUUAUUGUAUUCACCUGCGAUGCUGUUGCUGGCUCCUUGUGGGCAUGUGCACGCUUCGUAAGUUAAUUUCAACCACCUGUGAACCUUUUGUAGUCUUGGGUGACGCUAUAAGUCAAAGGAAACUUUGGAUUUGAAUGUUGCUGGCUUGUCAGCUUCAUUCUACAGCAGAGCCCGGGUACUAUGCUUUACACACCCCAUUGCAUGUCAUAGAAUGUAAUUCAAGGGCUUCAAUGCCUUUAAACUUAAUACAACUUUCAGCAACGGAUCUCUUGGCUCUC
rnacentral:misc_RNA from 1 species